rnacentral:lncRNA from 1 species
CUGGGGACAAAGGAGUCAGUAAGAAGGCACAGCCUUCCUGCCCUCAUGAAGCUUGGACAUGAAACAGACUGGCAGAGAAAGUAUAGGAUGUAUGAGAACUUUAUGUGCUAAAAAGCAAAACAAGAUUUGGAGUUGGUGGGAGAGAUUUGGGGUAGAAUGGAGGGGUAGGUGGCAUCUGCAAUCUUAAGCCAUGUGCACAACAAGUAGAUGCUUUAGUGAGGAAACAGCACUUAAGCAAAACCUCCAGGAAGGGAGAAUGUGAGCCAUGUACAUUACUGAGGGAAGGGCGUCUGAAAUAGAAAAACAGGGCAGGUGCAAAGAGACUGUGGUACUUCUUCUAUUUUAAUCUUUAUUAAAUUAUUUUAUUUAUCUACACUCUAAAAGUUAUCUCCCUUCCUGGUCCCCCAUUCCCAAGUUCUUUAUGCUCCCCUCACCUCCCUUCUCUGAGCAAGUGCUCCCUCACCCAUCUUCCCUCCCCCACCUCACCCCCACCAACAUCCCUUUCUGUUGGGGCAUCAAGUUUCUACAGGAUUAAGUGCAUCCUCUCCCUCUGAGGCCAUAUAAGACAGUCCUCUGGUACACAUGUGCCAUAGGCUAGUCCAUGUAUGCUCCUCGGUUUCUGGCCUAGUCUCUGAGAGUUCUGAGGGGUCCAGGUUAGUUGACAUUGUUGUUCUUCCUAUGAGGUUGCAAUCCCCUUCAGUUCCUUAGUCCUCCCUCUAACUCUUCCAUAUUGGUCCUGGU